AGUGAACGCUGGCGGUAGGCCUAACACAUGCAAGUCGAACGGCAGCACAGUAAGAGCUUGCUCUUACGGGUGGCGAGUGGCGGACGGGUGAGGCAUACAUCGGAAUCUACUUUUUCGUGGGGGAUAACGUAGGGAAACUUACGCUAAUACCGCAUACGACCUACGGGUGAAAGCAGGGGAUCUUCGGACCUUGCGCGAUUGAAUGAGCCGAUGUCGGAUUAGCUAGUUGGCGGGGUAAAGGCCCACCAAGGCGACGAUCCGUAGCUGGUCUGAGAGGAUGAUCAGCCACACUGGAACUGAGACACGGUCCAGACUCCUACGGGAGGCAGCAGUGGGGAAUAUUGGACAAUGGGCGCAAGCCUGAUCCAGCUAUACCGCGUGGGUGAAGAAGGCCUUCGGGUUGUAAAGCCCUUUUGUUGGGAAAGAAAAGCAGCAGGUUAAUACCCCGCUGUUCUGACGGUACCCAAAGAAUAAGCACCGGCUAACUUCGUG
rnacentral:rRNA from 1 species